GACGAACGCUGGCGGCGUGCUUAACACAUGCAAGUCGAACGGAAAGGCCCUGCUUUCGUGGUGUGCUCGAGUGGCGAACGGGUGAGUAACACGUGAGUAACCUGCCCUUCACUUUGGUAUAACUUCAGGAAACUGGGGCUAAUACCGUAUAGGAUCUCCCGCUGCAUGGUGGGGGUUGGAACGUUUCGGCGGUUGGGGAUGGACUCGCGGCUUAUCAGCUUGUUGGUGGGGUAGUGGCUUACCCAGGCUUUGACGGGUAGCCGGCCUGAGAGGGUGGCCGGCCACAAUGGGACUGAGAUAGGGCGCAGACUGCAACGGGAGGCAGCAGUGGGGAAUAUUGCACAAUGGGCGGAAGCCUGAUGCAGCGACGCCGGGUGUGGGAUGACGGCCUUCGGGUUGUAAACCGCUUUCGCCUGUGACGAAGCGGGAGUGACGGUAAUGGGUAAAGAAGCACCGGCUAACUACGUG
rnacentral:rRNA from 1 species